rnacentral:lncRNA from 1 species
GCAACUUGCCAGGCAAUGGUACCGGGGCGCCUUCCGGGUACUGGAGCUUCGGGGGUUGCAGGUGGGGCCGGCGGAACAGUAGAGACAAGACCACAAAGCCGGCGCAGUGCAUUAAAUGCACCGACAAGUCUAGAGCAGUUACACUAAGAACUGUUUUGUUUACAAUGUACAGUGGCCUGGGCGCUGCAUAAAACCCAAUGUAGAGUAGGUUUUGUGGCGAUGACACGCGUGUAGAUAACGUGUCACGUUUCAUGCAUCGGCACCUGUGGUAUUGUAACAUCCCAAUUUUCCCCAAACUUUGCAUCACGCAUUUGCACUCAUAAGCAUCAUGCCAUUUAUGCACCAAGAAUUCAAAAUUUAAAAUCCUUUUUAUUAAGCUUUUGCCCUUUAAUCUUCUUUGCUACAUUUUUGAUAAUUCUCAACCAAUGGGGUUUUGUCAAUAGAAAGGGGUUUAAUGCAAUAAGAUAAGCUACCCCAUAAUUUUUGGAACUUAUUUUGGAGUUGAAAAACUAUUUUAUUUUUAAAUAUUAUUGUACUAGAGGCAACUAUUUAAGCAAAACUAUUCCUCUUUUGGAAGGAAUCAAGUCCCAGAUGCUUUAGCAUUGAGCGAUAUGAUUUUACAAAUUUUCUGGAAUUUAUUUGGGGUCAUUUGGAGUUCAAAAUCAAAAGAUAGAAGGGAAAAACAGAAGAAGAAAAAGAGAAAGAAAAAGAACAAAAAAAAACCGGACCGGCCCGGCCGAACCGGCCCAGUCACGCUCGUGAAGCCCAACCCAUGAAACCAGCCCAGCAACGCGGCAGCCGCCACCCGCGCGCCCGCAGUCACUGACAGGUGGGGCCCACCUGUCAGUCGUCUUCAAGCUUCGUCCGGGAAUCUAGCUAAGACCGUCUUCAUUGCUCGUCUUCAAUCCGAGAUUUAGAGCACCCCAUUAACCACCCCUCUCGCGUCACUAUAAAGAGCCCCUCGCCCUCUCUCAUUUCCCCCGCACCCCCUCGC